GUUUCGAGCGUGUUGUCGAAUGUGAUCA
rnacentral:snRNA from 1 species